UACGUAGGGGGCAAGCGUUGUCCGGAAUUACUGGGCGUAAAGAGCAUGUAGGCGGGUAUUUAAGUCAGGAGUGAAAACUAUGGGCUCAACCCAUAGCCUGCUCUUGAAACUGGAUACCUUGAGGGUAUGAGAGGAAAGCGGAAUUCCCAGUGUAGCGGUGAAAUGCGUAGAUAUUGGGAGGAACACCAGUGGCGAAGGCGGCGCACUGGACCAUAACUGACGCUGAGGCGCGAAAGCUAGGGGAGCAAACAGG
rnacentral:rRNA from 1 species